rnacentral:lncRNA from 1 species
UCUAUUUGUAAUUUUUUAAAGAACAGCCACGCUUUUCCGUAGUGGCUGCAUCAUUUUACAACCCAAUAAACAGUGCACAAAAGUUCCAACUUCUUUACAUCCCUGCCAACACUUGUUGUUUUCUGGGUUUGUUUUUUUUUUUUAUUUGAUAGUAGUGAUCCUAAUGAGUGUCAGAGUAUGAUUGUAUUUUAAGGGAAGAUUUUCAUGCUUCACCCUGAAAGAAUGAUGAUGGUGUUGAUUUCAGGCUCUGGCACAAGCCAAGAGGAAAUAUUAGAUAUUUUGUUUAGGAAAUUCUUGUUGCAUCCUUCAAAUCACAUGACAUAAGCCUCAGCAGAAUCAUUAUAUAUCACUUGAGUGACAGAUAGCUGAGUCACCUGCCCCUGAGGUCUAGAUAAGAUUACCUUCUCCAUACCCCAUUCUAGAAUUGAGAAAAGUCAGACUCAUGACACAGGAUUAUGCACAUUUCUGGAGGGCUUAUUUGUCAUGGUCUUAUCUCUGUUUUUUGCGUCCUGCUCAUGUUAUUUUUUUUUUUCCCCCUCUCCUAUCUAUAUCAUUCUUGUUUUGUUUCACACGGAUGCAGACCUGGACCUGAGCCACUUUUCUUGAUUUCCCAGAAAUAGUCACUCACUCAAAGCCCUUGUAUGUGCAGCAGAUUUCACUGAUGCUUUAAGGAGGAGUUUAUGCUGCAAAAAAGCAAGCUAUUUAAAACUGAAUAUUAGCUCUCCUGCUUCUAGAAGUUCUUUGGGCCAUCCUGCCUCAGAGCACUUGUUUCCCCUGCUGUCAAGCCACUCUCUACAGCACCAUUUGCCGUUUUGCUGACUUCUCCUUUCCCUUCCCCCUCCAUCUUUUCAUCUGAGUCCUUACUAACUCCUAGUUUGCCAGGGCUCUGUGCUGCACCAGCUAGAACCAUGUGGGACUAACGGGCUCUUGUCCCAGGUUCAUGCUUCAUUUCUUCUCCAAGGUCAACAGACAUCUCUCCUCUUAAGAGAGAGAUACAAGAACCCUAAAGCCUGGGCCAAAGUUUCUCCGCAGCUGUAAUGGUUUCCUGAAGCUGGAGAUUUUGCCUCGACUCCUAGACCCAGUCCUCCUUCCAUACUUUAGAGUUCCCAGGGAUGCCACAUUCUCCUCUCUUUAUGAUGCACAACAAAUCAUAUCCCUCAAACUCCACUGUAAGUAAGCCCUCCUUUGCCAACCCAAAUCUCAAAAUGUUCACCUAAAUAAAAUACUCUUUCUCCAUUUAUGAGCUCAAAACAGAAGUGGAGAUCUUGAGUUUUCCUUUAGAAGGUCUAUCCACCUUCCUUGAGAAGGAGAACAGUGGAAUUCUGUGAACCAGAGAAAUGUAGGCAGCUGGGAGUCGAACUUAAGCACCAGUAUGAAUCUAUGGUUAUCAUCCAAACUAAAGGGAAUGAAAGCUUUACUCUGAAGGAACUGGGUCCAGUGCCAGGACCUGUGAUAGGUGCUGAGAGAGGUCAGUGAUUGGCUGUGGCACCUGCCCUUAUGCUGUGUACUCUCUGGCAUGAUUCUCCUUCCACCUGAAUGGUAGACUUCCCCUUGGUGAUACAGUGCAUUGAACUACAUUAUAGAAUUAGUCUUCAUUUUUAACAUGUUUGUAGAUAAUAAAACAAAGGUUCAAAGAAGUCAAGUUGUUUGCUCAAGAUCACACAGCUGGUAAGUUGUGGUGCCCAAAUCUGGAUCUAGGUCUGUCUCUAAAGCCCUUUCUACUUUAUCUAUUUGUCUCCUGAGCCAUUAGCACAUAAAAUACAGUUCUCAAGCACUACCACCACCCAAGGAGUCGCUACAAGGGAAAUUGAGGUGGGCCAUGUCUAGGGCUGGGGAUCUGCAUUUCUGUCUUUUUCUGACAUUUUAAAAUAGGGGGAUUCCAAAUUUUGCACCAUAUCACCAUUGCCUUGUCACUAACCAUAAUACAUUUACCAUCUGAAGGAGGCAAGAAAUAUCUGUGAGUCACAAAAAAGAACAAUGGGCUGAUGCAUAUCCUAUAGGUUCUACCUUCAAAAUAUAUCCAGAAUCUGAUGACUUCUGCCCAUCGCCUAUACUAACACACUGGUUAAGUCACCAUCAUUCUUGUCUGGGGGAUUGUAGCAGCUUCCCAGCUGGUUUUCCUGUUUCUACUCUCACGUCCUUAGAGAACGUUCUCCUCGUAGCAUCUAGAGUGCUCCGUUAAAAAGGUAAAUCUGGUUAUGUCACUCCUUGCUCACCAUCCUCCAGUGGCCCAGACUGCAUUUAGAAUAAAAUCCAAGCAACUUUGCAUUACCUUCAAGUUUUAAUGUUGAAGUUUAAUGUUCCUCCUCCCCACUUCUCAAGCCCUUCUCUGUCCCAGCCUCUUUGUACUUGCCGUAGUUUGUACCACCUGAUGUUCUUCCCAGGGCUUUUUGCUGGUGAAGGAGAUCAGAAUAUGUCCCCCCAAAAUAUGCCUUUUUGACAUAGGAAUUAGUUUGAGCUGAAGGCAAUUAAGAAGUAGCAAACACAAGAACAUUUCUCUCAACCCUCCCCCUUUCUGCCUAAAGGCAGGAUCUAAAUUCUCCUUUCCUAGGUCUGACUCCAGACUCUUACCAACCCAGAGACAGCACCAGAGGAAUCUGCCAACAACUCUUACUCCACUAGUUUACCCCAUAUGUUUACCUUCCCAUAGUUCCCUGCCCUUGGAAACCUAAAACUGCUUUCCUUUGUUCUGUCAUUUCUCUACACAUUUAUUAUUAUUCUUUGUUCCGUCAUUUCUCUACACAUUUAUUAUUAUUCUUUGUUAAAAAUGCUAUAAAAGUCGAGUCCUGAAAGGUUAUGGACUCGUCUGUCUCUGGGUACUCACAUGUGUCACAUGCAUGAUUUGCAUGUUAAUAAACUCCUGUGUGUUUCUAUUUU